rnacentral:rRNA from 1 species
GACGGGGGGGGCAAGUGGUUCUUCGGAAUGACUGGGCGUAAAGGGCACGGUAGGCGGUGAAUCGGGUUGAAAGUGAAAGUCGCCAAAAAGUGGCGGAAUGCUCUCGAAACCAAUUCACUUGAGUGAGACAGAGGAGAGUGGAAUUUCGUGGUGUAGGGGUGGAAAUCCGUAUGAUCGUACGAAAGGAACGCCAAAAAGCGAA